UACUGGGAAAUCUGUGAGGUGGAAAAUCAAAAUUUUCCUGAUGACUGUUUAAAAAGAAUAACGGCUAGCUCAUGUCUUCAGUGUUUUAUAGAUGUGCUCACAUGUAAUCAUAACAAGAACUCUACAGGAGAAGUAUCCAGCGCCUCAUUUUAUAGAUAAGGAAAUUGAGGCUCAGAGAGGACGGGCGACUUGGCUAAGCUCCCACAGUUGAGUUGAGGGCUGCAUCUGACAUGUGACUGUGGUUUCGAGUCUCUGGAGUCCCAUUUUUUUGUCUCUUCCAUGGAGUUUGUUUGCUGCAGUUUGAGGAGCUAAGGCAUAUGAGAAAUACCAGAAUCUUGGCUGAAGCUCCAAGUGAAGACCAGGGAAACACAUAACCACAGUUUAAUGAGAGGGUGUCACAUGACAUGCUCAGAAGUAAUCCCAACCUGACUUUGGAGCUUCACUCGCCUCCAACCUGUAUAUGACAAAAGGCUACUGAUAAAGCCAGCAGGUGUCCUUAGAAGCAGAGGAGAUUGGGCCCCAGACACACAUACGCAGAAGAAAGAUCAAGUGAAGACAAAGGCAGAAGUCGUCGAUCUACACACCAAGGAAACGUUCUCAGAAUGAAACCAAGCCUGCCAACCUCUGAUCCUAGACUUCCAGCCACCAGAACGACGGUGAAGCUCCUGGUUCUCGAUCCUUUGCACUCGACAGGGAGUUAUACCAUUGGCUCUCCUGGUUCUCAGGCCUUUGGACUCAGAUGGAAUGGGCCUUCCUGGGGUCUCCAGCAUGCAGAUGGCAGAUGGUGGAACUUCUCAGCCUCCAAAAUCGAGUGAGCCAAUUCCCACCAUAAAUCCCCUCUCCUAUGUCUGUAUAUAUCCUAUUGCUUCUCUUCCUUUGCAGAAUGCUGACUAAUACAGACAUAAUACAGCAGCCUUUGGGAAUGAUGUGUGAGUAUGUGGAGGAAGAACUAGACAUGAAGUAGCAUGUGCUUUCUUUAACAUAACUUUUUCAUUAAAAUAGUUGUAUGUGCUUAGUACAAAAACUUGGGAAAUACAGAAAUGUAGUGGAAAAAGGAAGAAGAAAAACUACCAUCCAUUAUUUUCUCUCCCUCCCUCCUCAAUCUCCAGGAAAAUGACAAUUAACUAGUUUCCCCUUUAUUUUUCAGAGUUGGGAUUCUCCAGUAUGCAAAUAUUUUUAUUCUGAUUUUUAAAAUUAAUAUAGCUUACACUUUUCUCAAGACAUACUAAACUGCUCUUAAAUAUUUUAAUGGCCACAUUAUAUGUUAUUGAGUUAAUGUACUACAAUUUUGUUAAUCAUUUCCUUGUUGUUUGGAUGUUAGUUUUUUGUUUUUUGUUUUUUUUUAGUUUUAAACAAUGCUGCGUGAUCAUCUUAGUGCACCACACAUUUUCUGCAUUUUGAGUUUUUUCUUUUGUGGUGACUUAGGAAGGUAGAAUUUCUGAGCUAAAGGAUAUUGCCAAUUUUAUGGUCCUGCAUACUUUUACCAAAUGGUUGCAUACAAAGGAUGAAGCCUUUCCAUUCCCACUAGCAGAGAAUGAGUACCCACAAGUGCCCCACGGCUCCGGUAACCUGUCCUACAGAGGGAAAUCUGAAGCUCUUAGUGAGACCAGUGGGCAGAUGCUGGGCCUCCCCCGAGACAGAGGGAGAAGUCAAACCACCAAGCAUUUGCUAGGCUGCGCAGCAUCUAUGUGGUCGGGGCCAAUGAUAUUCUUUUGCUCUUUCCAGCAUUGCGCAGUGAUCCUGGGGAUGCCGUUUGGAAGCUGCACGCCUUUGACAUCUUUAGGGUUGAAGAGAUGAUGCUCCCCAUGGGGGCUGACCAGUGAUCCAUUAGUUUCUCGUGGAGCCUUCAGAGGUCUACGGGGCCUUCCUGGGGUUGCACCUCAUUUCCGCCACUCCUGACUUCGCAAUUUACUCCUUUGGAUCUUUCCAGAAACCGUCUUUGGCAGUUCUGAAACAAAGGCCACCUAGUGACCAAACACAAAACAAAACAAAACAAAAAACACUUGGAAAUCAUCAUUCCUCAAAAAGACUUUUGUUUUGAAAGAGCCAUUACUGUCUGCCUGUCCUUGAUUCAGGGUUUCCCCCUAAACUGCCAGGAGCAAAACAAAACUGCCUGGAGCCUGGAGCACAGGAUCUUUUUGACAGCAUUUGAGCACCACCUCUUGUAUCUGAUUUAUGGUAGGGAUCAGGCUGUUCUUAGGGCAAGAACAAAAUGUGCUCUGGGGAGAACCCAAGUGAAGAAAUACAGAAAAAACUGAAGCAGCAGCCAGGGUUACAAGUUUCUCCAUAUCCCCAGAGCCUGUCACAGGGCCUGGCCCUGAGUUGGGGCCCAGGCAGAGCAUGUCCAUCUGAUUCCCAGAUCACUGUACCCUGGAAACCCUGAUGUUUACCUUCCUGGGGUAUUUGUAUGGUGCAGUCACCCUUUUCACAUGCUCCUGGAGUUCCCGCGUUAGUGCCUCUGGGUCAUGAGAGGAGUAGUCCGGAGUAAGAACUAUAAAUGCCUUUACCACCUGCAGCAAAACAAAUACCCAGAAAAGAUCAGACCUUGUAUAACAACUCUUUUCUCCUUCAGUGACCCUUGAAUAAAUGCCUACAUUUACCUUUGCACCAUGAAA